AGUCUUAUAUUCAAAAAUGAUAUAAAAUUGCAAAUUUUAAGGAAUAGUAUAUAAUUCUAUUAAGGCUU
rnacentral:tRNA from 1 species